rnacentral:misc_RNA from 1 species
GAUGAAGAACGUAGCGAAAUGCGAUAAGUAAUGUGAACUGCAGAAUUCAGUGAAUCAUCGAAUCUUUGAACGCACAUUGCGCCCCCUGGUAUUCCGGGGGGCAUGCCUGUUCGAGCGUCAUUUCACCACUCAAGCCUCGCUUGGUAUUGGGCAACGCGGUCCGCCGCGUGCCUCAAAUCGACCGGCUGGGUCUUCUGUCCCCUAAGCGUUGUGGAAACUAUUCGCUAAAGGGUGUUCGGGAGGCUACGCCGUAAAACAACCCCAUUUCUAAGGUUGACCUCGGAUCAGGUAGGGAUACCCGCUGAACUUAAGCAUAUCAAUAAGCGGAGGA